GCUAGGUACAGCCAGUCGGAUCUGCAAGAGGGUUAUUUAAACUCACUUAUUAGCUCAUUGCCCUGUUGUGCUUUCCCUUAGAUGGUUAUCCGAGAGUGUAUUCCUGAUCGUGUUAUUCUGGUUUUUGACUUUCCUGAUUUCUGGUAUGCUUGACUUUUGGCUUUUCCUUAUCGCUGUGUCGUUCUCUGUCCCUGACCUCGGCUAGUUUUCUGAUUAUUCUCGGGUACGUUAAGUCCGGCCAUUCUAAGAUCCGGUUAGACGUUACUCUUAGUUCUAGGGUGUGAUGCUAUUCUG